GUAACUCUAAUAGCAUCUUCCUUGGAUUUUACCCGAACCCCUUCAGAAUUCGAUUAAGUGCCCCCUUGGAAUGUCAUAUGUACCUUUUACUUUAGGGAGACAUGACUGAUUAUUUUAAU
rnacentral:rRNA from 1 species